CGCAAACACCGCCGAGGAGAAUUCGUGGCGUGCGCCGAGAGUGAGUGACAUGUAGCGCUUGCACUGCCCGUGUCCGUGUGUCAGCCGGUGCUGGGGCUCCGGCGGCGCGGUGCACCUGGCGAGCUGGCCGUGGCCCGAUCAGCAUUAGUUUUCUUGUAAAAGUACAUAGGAUUUCAUCAAGAUAAAAGAAGCAUGUAUUUCCAGCAGUUUUCUUUUUUAAUUAAGUGGACAUACAGUCACGAAAUAAAGUACCAUAGAAUCAACCUGUUCAAAGAAAAACAUCAGACAUCAACACUCCCUCCCUGAGCACAAAGAAAUCUUGGAAAAGGCAUCAAAAAAAAAGAGUAUGAAACACAAAAGGCGUAUUUCAGUACAGUUCAAAUGUACACACGAAUUUACAGUGGAAGGCAAAGAACACACUUGGAAUUCUAUAGAGUUAUUUCCACAUCUUCUAGAUGUUUCGAAUGCUGUAACUUCUCAGCCAAUGAAUUGACUUUAAGAUGCAUUCACCUUUGUUAAAUAAACUAACAAUAUCAUAGCAAUCCAGCGAAAAAGCAAGUAUUUUGUUUGAGUCAUUUAAUAGCAAAAGACUUGUCGUGGAGGAGUUAGGGAAUUUGGG